rnacentral:tRNA from 1 species
AGCUCAGUGGUUAGCGCGUUAGACUCUAGAUCUAAAGGUCCCGAGAUCGAAUCUCGC